UAGGGAAUCUUCCGCAAUGGGCGAAAGCCUGACGGAGCAACGCCGCGUGAGUGAUGAAGGUUUUCGGAUCGUAAAGCUCUGUUGCCAGGGAAGAACGUCGGGUAGAGUAACUGCUACCCGAGUGACGGUACCUGAGAAGAAAGCCCCGGCUAACUACGUGCCAGCAGCCGCGGUAAUACGUAGGGGGCAAGCGUUGUCCGGAAUUAUUGGGCGUAAAGCGCGCGCAGGCGGUCAUUUAAGUCUGGUGUUUAAGGCUAGGGCUCAACUCUAGUUCGCACUGGAAACUGGGUGACUUGAGUGCAGAAGAGGAAAGUGGAAUUCCACGUGUAGCGGUGAAAUGCGUAGAGAUGUGGAGGAACACCAGUGGCGAAGGCGACUUUCUGGGCUGUAACUGACGCUGAGGCGCGAAAGCGUGGGGAGCAAACAGG
rnacentral:rRNA from 1 species